rnacentral:rRNA from 1 species
GGAGGGUGUAAGCGUUAUUCGGAAUUAUUGGGCGUAAAGAGCGCGUAGGCGGUUUUUUAAGUCAGAUGUGAAAGCCCGAGGCUUAACCUCGGAAGUGCAUUUGAAACUAAGAGACUUGAGUAUGGGAGAGGGAAGUGGAAUUCCUGGUGUAGAGGUGAAAUUCGUAGAUAUCAGGAGGAACACCGGUGGCGAAGGCGACUUCCUGGACCAAUACUGACGCUGAGGCGCGAAGGCGUGGGGAGCAAACAGGAUUAGAUACCCUGGUAGUCCACGCAGUAAACGGUGAACACUAGGUGUAGCGGGUAUUGACCCCCCUGCUGUGCCGAAGUUAACGCAUUAAGUGUUCCGCCUGGGGAGUACGACCGCAAGGUUA